ensembl:lincRNA linc-43 ncRNA
GACGCCGACUGAUUUGUAUCUAUCCUCUAUCCCCCGUCUCGAUCUUCCGUCUAUUCUUCAACUUCUCCGUUUCCAAUUCUCAUCGUGUCUGAGGUAUGACGGGGAACCGAAAGAUAGCAGAUAGAGAGGCAAAACUGACCCAAUAAGGACACAACGAAAAGCGAAAAAUGCUUGCAAAAUUGGAAUGAACUUUAGCGAAACCAGCUUUUGUAAGAGAAACCGACAACCGGAAAUUGUAAAGUGCAGAUUUGACCUAUAUCUGUUGUCAUAUCUCUUACUCAAUAAAUUCUUAUGUCCAAAACAUGAAAUAUUGUUGAUUGAUUUGAUUUAUUUAACUUAACUAAAGCAAUUUCCAACAGUACAAUUUGAAUUUGAAAGUUAAAUAAAAUUGUUCGUU